UACGGAAGGCAGCAGGGGGGAAUAUUGCACAAUGGGCGCAAGCCUGAUGCAGCCAUGCCGCGUGUAUGAAGAAGGCCUUCGGGUUGUAAAGUACUUUCAGUCGUGAGGAAGGUGUUAAGGUUAAUAACCUUAGCAAUUGACGUUAGCGACAGAAGAAGCACCGGCUAACUCCGUGCCAGCAGCCGCGGUAAUACGGAGGGUGCGAGCGUUAAUCGGAAUUACUGGGCGUAAAGGGCACGCAGGCGGUUAAUUAAGUUGGAUGUGAAAUCCCCGGGCUUAACCUGGGAAUGGCAUUCAAGACUGGUUAGCUAGAGUCUUGUAGAGGGGGGUUAGAAUUCCAUGUGUAGCGGUGAAAUGCGUAGAGAUGUGGAGGAAUACCGGUGGCGAAGGCGGCCCCUGGGACAAAGACUGACGCUCAUGUGCGAAAGCGUGGGGAGCAAACAGGGAUUAGAUACC
rnacentral:rRNA from 1 species